UACGGAGGGGGCUAGCGUUGUUCGGAAUUACUGGGCGUAAAGCGAGUGUAGGCGGUUCGCUAAGUCGGGUGUGAAAGCCCUGGGCUCAACCCAGGAAGUGCACUCGAAACUGGCAGGCUAGAGUAUCGGAGAGGUUGGUGGAAUUCUCGGUGUAGAGGUGAAAUUCGUAGAUAUCGAGAGGAACACCGGUGGCGAAGGCGGCCAACUGGACGAAUACUGACGCUGAGACUCGAAAGCGUGGGGAGCAAACGGG
rnacentral:rRNA from 1 species